AUUGAACGCUGGCGGCAGGCCUAACACAUGCAAGUCGAGCGGAUGAAGGGAGCUUGCUCCUGGAUUCAGCGGCGGACGGGUGAGUAAUGCCUAGGAAUCUGACUGGUAGUGGGGGAUAACGUCCGGAAACGGGCGCUAAUACCGCAUACGUCCUGAGGGAGAAAGUGGGGGAUCUUCGGACCUCACGCUAUCAGAUGAGCCUAGGUCGGAUUAGCUAGUUGGUGGGGUAAAGGCCUACCAAGGCGACGAUCCGUAACUGGUCUGAGAGGAUGAUCAGUCACACUGGAACUGAGACACGGUCCAGACUCCUACGGGAGGCAGCAGUGGGGAAUAUUGGACAAUGGGCGAAAGCCUGAUCCAGCCAUGCCGCGUGUGUGAAGAAGGUCUUCGGAUUGUAAAGCACUUUAAGUUGGGAGGAAGGGCAGUAAGUUAAUACCUUGCUGUUUUGACGUUACCAACAGAGUAAGCACCGGCUAACUUCGUG
rnacentral:rRNA from 1 species